GACCGCCGGAUUUUCCGGCUAAGGCCAUACGGACAGCCGGGUCGAAUGCCGA
rnacentral:sRNA from 1 species